UUUUAUUCAUAUAUCAUUUAUAUGCUUUUCUUCCCAUUUCUGAAAAAACUUUUGAAUUUAUUUAUUAGUUAUAAAUCACCAGUGUCUGUGUAUUCAUCUUUAUGAGUUAAGUUAUUCUUGUUAUAUUUCGUGUUUUUUUUUUCAUUUACAUUUACACACAUACUUCACGUCAGGUUGUCAUAAUGAGAAAGGCCUCUGAUAUUUUGUUUUACUUUCGAUGUAGUUUUGCUAAGAUAAUGAACUUUCGUGUCUAUGAUCUUUGAGGAAUUCUAGGAUAUAAAACUGUUACGAUAUUUAGAUACAUACAAAAGAACGAAUAUAUGAGUGCCUAAGUAAUGUGAGUGUUUUGUUUGAAUCAAAUUAAGUUUGAAUCAUGAAAUUCCCGUGGAUAACAGUUUGAUAUAUUUCUAGUCAAAAGAUAAUGCUCAACUGACAUGUAUGCUGUUGUUGUUUUAUUACCUAUGCUCUGUAAUUGUUGUUUAUGGCUAAAUAAAGUUACCUGUCACAUAUAUUUGACCUUGAUGCCCACUUUCAUAGAUUUCAAAAUAAAAUGUAUAGUUGUCCGCGGUAUUCCCGCGUCAUUGGUAAUUUCGCGUUAUUUCCGUUUUGCACAGCAGCGCCAUCUUGACAUUGUUUACAAACAACCUACUUUCAUUUUCAGUUCAAAUUUUAAUAAAUUUAUCCAGAAUGCAUAGAAUUUUGGUACACUAAUACAGCAAUGUUGCCUCAGGUACGAACUAAAAAUUACGGCAGUAGCUCUUUGCGUUUCCUCAGCAUUUCAGGGAGGAGACGAACUUUCAUCACUUCAAAAGUCUGAUUAAUGCCUGGAACGAUGAACCCAACAAAACAAAAACAUUUAAAAGAGGAAAUAAAAUAUUUAUUGGACAAUGAUUUCAUGGAACCGAGAAACAGUAUGAGAGGUACCCAUGUAUUCUUGUUCCAAAACCUAACAAAUCUUACCGGUUGUGAACAGAAAAGUAAACAGCAUCACAAAAACUGAUUCAUUUCCUAUGCCUAGAGUUGACAACUGUACUGAUAAAGUUGGACAUGCAAAAUUAGCCACAAAACUUGAUUUGUUGAAAGGAAUUUGGCAAGUUCUCCUCACAGAUAAAACUGAACAAGUUUCGGCCAUGGUUACACAUGAAAGAUUAUUCCAGUACAAAGCCAUGCCAUUUGGUAUGAAAAUUCACUUACAACGUUUCAGUGACUUGUAAAUUUCAUUAUUUCUGGACAUAUGGAUGGGAUGGAUACAUUUACGAUGUCAUCAUAUACCAUGACACUUGGCAAAGCCAUCUGCAGGCGAUCAAGGAUUACUUCAAAAGAAGCAAAGUUGACAAUUAAUUUAUCAGACAGUGAAUUUUGUAAAGUUUGUGUCAUUUUCUUAGGUCAUGUUGUGGAACAGGGUCAAGAAAAACCCAUUGCAGCUAAGGCUGAAUCUAUCUCUGAUUUUUUCAGUUACAACCCGUGGGUGUAAAACAUCUUAUUCAUUUUUUCUUGGUAUGGUUGGAUAUUAAAGAAAUUCU